rnacentral:rRNA from 1 species
GAUGAACGCUGGCGGCGUGCUUAACACAUGCAAGUCGAACGGUGAAGGCGGAGCUUGCUCUGCUGGAUCAGUGGCGAACGGGUGAGUAACACGUGAGCAAUCUGCCCCUGACUCUGGGAUAAGCGCUGGAAACGGCGUCUAAUACUGGAUACGAGCUGCGAAGGCAUCUUCAGCAGCUGGAAAGAACUUCGGUCAGGGAUGAGCUCGCGGCCUAUCAGCUUGUUGGUGAGGUAACGGCUCACCAAGGCGUCGACGGGUAGCCGGCCUGAGAGGGUGACCGGCCACACUGGGACUGAGACACGGCCCAGACUCCUACGGGAGGCAGCAGUGGGGAAUAUUGCACAAUGGGCGAAAGCCUGAUGCAGCAACGCCGCGUGAGGGACGACGGCCUUCGGGUUGUAAACCUCUUUUAGCAGGGAAGAAGCGAAAGGGACGGUACCUGCAGAAAAAGCGCCGGCUAACUACGU